UUCGCAGCAGUUUAGGGAAUCUUCCACAAUGGACGAAAGUUUGAUGGAGCAAUGCCGCGUGAGUGAAGAAGGUUUUCGGAUCGUAAAACUCUGUUGUUGAAGAAGAACAUAUGUGAGAGUAACUGUUCACGUACUGACGGUAUUCAACCAGAAAGCCACGGCUAACUACGUGCCAGCAGCCGCGGUAAUACGUAGGUGGCAAGCGUUGUCCGGAUUUAUUGGGCGUAAAGAGAAUGUAGGCGGUUUAUUAAGUUUGAAGUGAAAGCCCUCGGCUCAACCGAGGAAGUGCUUCGAAAACUGGUAAACUUGAGUGCAGAAGAGGAAAGUGGAACUCCAUGUGUAGCGGUGGAAUGCGUAGAUAUAUGGAAGAACACCAGUGGCGAAGGCGGCUUUCUGGUCUGUAACUGACGCUGAGAUUCGAAAGCAUGGGUAGCAAACAGGAUUAGAUACCCUGGUAGUCCAUGCCGUAAACGAUGAGUGCUAAGUGUUGGAGGGUUUCCGCCCUUCAGUGCUGCAGCUAACGCAUUAAGCACUCCGCCUGGGGAGUACGAUCGCAAGAUUGAAACUCAAAGGAAUUGACGGGGGCCCGCACAAGCGGUGGAGCAUGUGGUUUAAUUCGAAGCAACGCGAAGAACCUUACCAGGUCUUGACAUACCAUGAAAAGCUUAGAGAUAAGUCUUUCCCUUCGGGGACAUGGAUACAGGUGGUGCAUGGUGUCGUCAGCUAGUGGUGU
rnacentral:rRNA from 2 species